CGCACGGUGGCUUAGUGGUUAGUACGUUCGCCUCACACCUCCAGGGUGCAGGGUUCGAUUCCCGCCGGGGCCG